AAUGGAAGUGGUCUCACUCCCAAAUUCUAAAUACAAAAAUAGUUAUGCCCAAAUUAGUGACAACUGUUCACUUUCUGUCAACUAAUUUUAUACCAUUUCUUCGCCUAAACCAUUUUCCAUUGAUUUCUCCUGUUUCUGUGACAUGGAGUAUAACUUAUUAAGAAAUAAUGAGCUUGGUACCGCCAUGGCUAAUUGAUUGAAUGAUCAAAGAGAAUAAGUAAAUGAGCGAGUAUAAUCUCAUAUUAUGUGUUGUGCACUGUACUUGUAGGUCGAGACGAGGAUAUCGUCCUAUUACCACCGGGAACCAAUCACUCAUUUAUGUUGUUUAGGGAUCGGUGAGAACAUUGAAAGAUUAUGUGCACUUCGGUAUGACGCUGAAACUACUCUACAUUCUGGUUAUGGUUAAUGGUUAUCCUUAAGGCACUCCACCUGGAGGUCAGUUUUAACCCAUGGCAUCCGUGCCUCUUUUGUCAACCUCAGAGUAUCCAGGCACUUAAGUGAAGGCAGCCUUUUUGCUAAACUUUUGAUUUUACACUCUGAUUGUUUGCUUAAGGUUGAUGUAUAUAUAAUUCCUUUGCCUGUCCAUGUUGUUUUACGCCCAAUUCUAAGGGCUGGGUCUGUAUAUAUAUAUGUACAUAACUAACUCUCUGGUGCACGUCACUGUAUGUUUAUUUGUCUUAUGUUCUGUCUGCGAUCCUGGCAUGAUAGUGGUCGCUCAAUGGAUGCAGUUCUUUUAUUUAUGUUAA